GGAGGAGAGGGGAGAGCUGGACGGACAGACAGAGACAGCAGUCCCCAAAACAAAAGUCUGCCCUCUUGAGAAAAUCUAACCCUAGGCAGGAGCAAUUAGCCAACUCCAGUCCCGUCUAGGCUUUCUGUCUAGUUUAAGAUUU